UCUUGGUCAUUUAGAGGAAGUAAAAGUCGUAACAAGGUUUCCGUAGGUGAACCUGCGGAAGGAUCAUUACUGAAUUGUCAAACGGGUUGUUGCUGGCCCUCAUAGGGGGCAUGUGCACGCUCUGUUUACACAUCCACUCACACCUGUGCACCCUCUGUAGUUCUAUGGUCUGGGGGACCCUGUCUUCCUUCUGUGGUUCUACGUCUNUACACACACACUGUAAUAAAGUUUUAUGGAAUGUACAUCGCGUCUAACGCAAUACAAUACAACUUUCAGCAACGGAUCUCUUGGCUCUCGCAUCGAUGAAGAACGCAGCGAAAUGCGAUAAGUAAUGUGAAUUGCAGAAUUCAGUGAAUCAUCGAAUCUUUGAACGCACCUUGCGCCCCUUGGCUAUUCCGAGGGGCAUGCCUGUUUGAGUAUCAUGAACACCUCAACUCUCAUGGUUUGCCAUGAUGAGUUGGACUCUGGGGGUUUUGCUGGCCUGUGGUCGGCUCCUCUCAAAUUAAUCAGCCUCCCAGUGUUUGGUGGCAUCACGGGUGUGAUAAAUAUCUACGCUCGCUGUUGUCUGCCAGGUAACCUUUGGUCACAAAGGUUUGCUGGAGCUCACAGAUGUCUCUCCUCAGCGAGGACAGCUUUUUUAACGUUCGAUCUCAAAUCAGGUAGGACUACCCGCUGAACUUAAGCAUAUCAAUAAGCGGAGGAAAAGAAACUAACAAGGAUUCCCCUAGUAACUGCGAGUGAAGCGGGAAAAGCUCAAAUUUAAAAUCUGGCGUGCCUCUGGUCGUCCGAGUUGUAGUUUAGAGAAGCGUUUUCUGUGCU
rnacentral:rRNA from 1 species